AGCUGCCACUGUUUAAAGCAGUCCUACUCUCUUGCAGACACCUUAUUUCCAGAGGAGAGAGGGAUUCACCAAUUUGUUUCAGCAGCUGCUCCCUCUGCUUGCUUCCCUGGCCGCUCCUGAGAAGCCUUUUCCCUUCAGGUAUGUUCUUUAUUCAAAGCUGGUCUGCUUAUCACUAACUCUGGACUGCCCUCAGAGAAGGACAGAGGGACAGAAAAGGGUUAGUGGUGGUGAAGAUCAGGACAUCAGGAGCGAACCCUGACCACUUCACAGGGGAUGGGCAUCCAACAGAAUGCAGGCACCAACAGCUGAAGUGAUUUACUUGACAGUGAAUAAAAGACACCCCCAGACAUUCAGAAGACUGUGAAUCCCGGCUGCUGUAACAUGCCAGUCACAACUGGGCUGUUUUUGAAGCUCAUCUUUUUCUUUGUUUCAAGUAUGAUUGCAUUUAGCAUGGAUGUUUCUGAUACACCACCAUGCCAAGAAGUAGUAUUGUUUUCUUUCAUCCUUAAAACAAUCCAUACUCAUACUAAACAAUUGAAACUUGGCAUGCUGAUCAGUUUUCAAUAAAGACUACAUGUGCUUUGCCAAAGAAGUAUAUUUAACGAGGGAUGAACUAUCUGUUCCGGAAAAAAUAUCAGGCUUAUAUGGUGUGUCCUUUUCAUCAUACCAAGCCUUGGUAUUGCCUGUCAUAUGAAUGACUUGUGAAAGCGAAUUCAGCAUGGGAAAAAAAAAAAAAAAAAAAAAAAAAAAAAAAAAAGAAGGAAGAAGUGUGGCCUUCCUCUAUAUUAGUUACCCCAAAUUAGUUAAUCUGGGUUAAAAAAUAACUCAGUGGAGAAGGGGUGAGAAACACUUCAGGUGUAACUGCAGCACAGACGUAAUGUCCCCAAGUACUAGGGGACAUACAGACACACAGCAAAGGGGAUGAUCACUUUCUUUAAUAAAGCAAAUAUCCAUAAAGCAGAUUUCAAAUGCUAUAUAUUAAGAGAAUCAGAAAAUAUUUUUAUAAAGCACCAACACUGAGGAAGGAAAGCAGAGAUCAUCUGUUCAGCUAACUGCACUCUAAUGGUCUGGAAAUUCCAAUUCAGCUACAGCCAUUUCAGAAGGGCACUGGAAAGGCGUUUAUUUAGCAAAAUACUUUAUUUCAAGGCUUCUAAUUAGUUUCAGUAGUGAACUAAUGAGAAAAAAAAAGGGGG
ensembl:lncRNA